UCGCUUUGCGUUUGCCCAUAUGACCGAAUUUCAAGCAAAGUUAAUGUUAAUCCCUAAUGUCAUUAGUAAAAUGAGAAGAGAAAAGUCGUUUUCCUCACUUAUUGCAUUUAAAUCACGAUGAUGUCUGAGGAUUAAGAGCGCAGCGUGUCUGCUUGGAAUGGCGCCAUCAUGGCCUCACUCAGAAAUAUGCCUUUCCAGCUAGCAAUGUGUCAUAUGACGUAGGCAGAGGCAAACAAUAGGUUGUGCUCCCGCUCCGUUUCUCACUCUACAGUGGUGAGAGUGAGCGAGAUAUAGGGAGAGUUUUUGUCAUAAUGGUAAAUGAUUGUGUUUGUGCGUGUUGCACAAAUUCCAGCCUGUCUGGAAAUAGUGUACAUCAUUUUCCUUCUAGGAAAAGCAAGGUAUUUCGUUUUUGGGUGCGUUUUGUGCAAGUGAAGAGAGCAGACUUCACUGCCGCAUCGGUCACCACACACUCGGUCGUUUGUGGCGCCCAUUUCAGAUUUGUUGGAGUCUCGUAUGGGAUUUCGGAGUAAGGACCAUGUGAGACUGAUUACCGAUGCUGUUCCCUCGGUGCACUCAAUGGAAUCAAGUCCACCACCAUCAAAGCUUUCACCUGAACCUGGCGCGGGCAGGACUGGAGGACCAAGUGCUAGCACUUGCAGAAAUUCCAUGCACCGAAAAAGAGCUCUUAGCAGAAGAUUUCCCGUCCUGAUAUAGCCUGUUUCCGGAUCUUCUUCCACCUAGUUACCGUGUGCUUCUGUUCACCAUCCGCUUCCCUGGCAGGAGAGGCUUUGAUCACCGACAAGCUAAGUCAUUUACAACUGUCAUCGUUCUGUCUGCUCACCAUUAUCUCUGGUUCCCGAUCCAUUCUGCAAAUAAAAACAUUUAACCUCAUUUACCUGGCUGAUUCCCGUUUUAAACGUGACAGUAUCCCAGUAGGCUACUCUCUGGUAAUUUAAAAAGUCAAAAUUGAUAUAUUAAUCAAUAUACUGAAAUCUCCUAGAUUUGGCCACUAGAGGUUUUGACAUGUCAGAGCUGCUUUGGUUUUAUUUCAAUUUUUUAAAAUUAUUAUUACUGAUUCAAUUGGUAACAAAGCUUGUAUCCUAUUUUUGUGAGUGAUUUUGAAUCUCUGUUUUUCAGAUUUUGGCAGAGAGUGCAACCAGUAAUUAAGGGAUAGAUGCACCUAGCACUGUAGAUUUUGAAGAGACAGAGGGCUUGUCUCUACAGGAUCCUGGACCAUUAGUGCUUCAUCGUGGGUCACAGUGCAACAUCAAAUGUCUGCAACGCUCAUCAGCACUUCAGGUAAAGGCUGAAAUGGUUAGUGUGGGGACUCAACAAAUAUCAACUCCACUGCCCAGUUCUGUCCAAUGUGAGGAUGAAUCAUCCUCUGAUGUCAUGGACCAUUCUGAUCUGUCAUGUAUCCCAGAUGAGGAGAUGAGUAGUGAGUCAUCUGAUGAGAAUUCAGAAGAGCCAAUACAGGAAUCUCUCAAUGACUCCAAGAUCAACCGCUGCGAUAAAGUUGGAAAGUGUUGCUUCCAGAAAGGCCCUGCUGAAGGAUAUUCAACAGCUCUCACCGGAACGCCAAAAAUUUUCCUUGGAGGCAUUCCAUUCUUUAAUCCUGAAUUCCAUUCUUUUUAAACUUUGCGCCAAAGCACACCGACUUCUUUUUUCUUGGAAUGUACAGCAGACUUCUCUUAGCGGCCCUCCACUUCAAUAACAAUGGAGACAGAGAUGUAGCCCGAACAAACAGUGGUGAGGCACGCUAUGCAGUCUGUUACCCCCGGUUUCGUAAGGGUGGCUGGAUCGUUCGACCCAUAAAGGAGAAACCAUCAUAUGAUUGGGACAUCACAACCCCUUUUCUGAUGAUAC